rnacentral:rRNA from 1 species
UACGGAGGGUGCAAGCGUUAUCCGGAUUCACUGGGUUUAAAGGGUGCGUAAGAGGGCAGGUAAGUCAGUGGUGAAAUCUCCGAGCUUAACUUGGGAAUUGCGCUCGAAACUACGUGGCUGGAGUGUGGCAGAGGAAGGUGGAAUUCCACGUGUAGCGGUGAAAUGCGUAGAGAUGUGGAGGAACACCAAUGGCGAAGGCAGCCUUCUGGGCCAACACUGACGCUCAUGCACGAAAGCGUGGGGAGCAAACAGG